GCACAAGCGGUGGAUGAUGUGGAUUAAUUCGAUGCAACGCGAAAACCUUACCUACCCUUGACAUGUCUGGAACCUUGGUGAGAGCCGAGGGUGCCUUCGGGAGCCAGAACACAGGUGCUGCAUGGCUGUCGUCAGCUCGUGUCGUGAGAUGUUGGGUUAAGUCCCGCAACGAGCGCAACCCUUGUCACUAGUUGCCAUCAUUUAGUUGGGCACUCUAGUGAGACUGCCGGUGACAAACCGGAGGAAGGUGGGGAUGACGUCAAGUCCUCAUGGCCCUUAUAGGUGGGGCUACACACGUCAUACAAUGGAUGGUACAAAGGGUCGCCAACCCGCGAGGGGGGAGCCAAUCCCAUAAAGCCAUUCGUAGUCCGGAUCGCAGUCUGCAACUCGACUGCGUGAAGUCGGAAUCGCUAGUAAUCGUGGAUCAGAAUGUCACGGUGAAUACGUUCCCGGGUCUU
rnacentral:rRNA from 1 species